GAUGAACGCUGGCGGCGUGCCUAAUACAUGCAAGUCGAGCGAACGGACGAGAAGCUUGCUUCUCUGAUGUUAGCGGCGGACGGGUGAGUAACACGUGGAUAACCUACCUAUAAGACUGGGAUAACUUCGGGAAACCGGAGCUAAUACCGGAUAAUAUUUUGAACCGCAUGGUUCAAAAGUGAAAGACGGUCUUGCUGUCACUUAUAGAUGGAUCCGCGCUGCAUUAGCUAGUUGGUAAGGUAACGGCUUACCAAGGCAACGAUGCAUAGCCGACCUGAGAGGGGGAUCGGCAAACUGGGAACGGGGACCGGGGCCAACACCGGAGGGGAGGCAGGGGGGGGAAACCUUCCGCAGGGGGGAAAGGCCGAAGGGGGAAACGCCGGGGGAGGGAGAAAGGUCUUGGGAUCGGAAAACCUUUUUAUUGGGGAAGAAAAAAUGGUUAAGAAACGGGGCAAUUUUGGACGGAACCGAACAAGAAGGCCCGGGCUAACUCGGG
rnacentral:rRNA from 1 species